rnacentral:rRNA from 1 species
UGCAAGUCGAGCGGUAGCACAGAGAGCUUGCUCUCGGGUGACGAGCGGCCCCUUUGGUGAGUAAUGUCUGGGAAACUGCCUGAUGGAGGGGCAUAACAUACUGGAAACGGUAGCUAAUACCGCAUAAUGUCGCAAGACCAAAGUGGGGGACCUUCGGGCCUCAUGCCAUCAGAUGUGCCCAGAUGGGAUUAGCUAGUAGGUGGGGUAACGGCUCACCUAGGCGACGAUCCCUAGCUGGUCUGAGAGGAUGACCAGCCACACUGGAACUGAGACACGGUCCAGACUCCUACGGGAGGCAGCAGUGGGGAAUAUUGCACAAUGGGCGCAAGCCUGAUGCAGCCAUGCCGCGUGUGUGAAGAAGGCCUUCGGGUUGUAAAGCACUUUCAGCGGGGAGGAAGGCGUUAAGGUUAAUAACCUUGUCGAUUGACGUUACCCGCAGAAGAAGCACCGGCUAACUCCGUGCCAGCAGCCGCGGUAAUACGGAGGGUGCAAGCGUUAAUCGGAAUUACUGGGCGUAAAGCGCACGCAGGCGGUCUGUCAAGUCGGAUGUGAAAUCCCCGGGCUCAACCUGGGAACUGCAUUCGAAACUGGCAGGCUAGAGUCUUGUAGAGGGGGGUAGAAUUCCAGGUGUAGCGGUGAAAUGCGUAGAGAUCUGGAGGAAUACCGGUGGCGAAGGCGGCCCCCUGGACAAAGACUGACGCUCAGGUGCGAAAGCGUGGGGAGCAAACAGGAUUAGAUACCCUGGUAGUCCACGCCGUAAACGAUGUCGAUUUGGAGGUUGUGCCCUUGAGGCGUGGCUUCCGGAGCUAACGCGUUAAAUCGACCGCCUGGGGAGUACGGCCGCAAGGUUAAAACUCAAAUGAAUUGACGGGGGCCCGCACAAGCGGUGGAGCAUGUGGUUUAAUUCGAUGCAACGCGAAGAACCUUACCUGGUCUUGACAUCCACAGAACUUUCCAGAGAUGGAUUGGUGCCUUCGGGAACUGUGAGACAGGUGCUGCAUGGCUGUCGUCAGCUCGUGUUGUGAAAUGUUGGGUUAAGUCCCGCAACGAGCGCAACCCUUAUCCUUUGUUGCCAGCGGUUCGGCCGGGAACUCAAAGGAGACUGCCAGUGAUAAACUGGAAGGAAGGUGGGGAUGACGUCAAGUCAUCAUGGGCCCUUACGACCAGGGCUACACACGUGCUACAAUGGGCAUAUACAAAAGAAGAAAGCGACCUCGCGAGAGCAAGCGGACCUCAUAAAAGUAAUGUUCGUAGUCCCGGA